CAUUCCUCGAACCUUAUUUUCGCGAAUUUCCAACUCGAUAAGUCGAAUUGUAAUAAUUUCCGAUACGCCAACCGUCGAAACGAUAACUCCAAAGAAUGAUACGCGCGCACGAGGAUAGAAAAAGUAUUUGGUCAACACCUGGCAAUUGGUUCCCUUGGAGAUAAAGCCAGCAUGAAUAAGAAGUGCUUCAUCUUAAUCAUGAUCUCAAGCACUGACUGUGAAUAUGAAGCUGGGUCAAGAUGGAUAAGAACUGAAACUGACAAGUUGAAACAUUUUCUGAAAGAUACGAGUUAGUGUUUUCUUGACAGCGAUUAUUUCAAUUAUACAAACGUAACAUGGAAUAAAAUGGUGGUGUAUACGGCUUUCUUAGUAAAACGCACGCAACUCUUAUAUUAAUUAAAAUAUUUAUUAUCACAAAUUAUUAAUUAAACUGUAGACAUCAGUAAUAGAUAGAAGCUUAUCGAGGCUUUCUAAAUUUCUCCUGUCCACUUCAUAAACGCCUCGUUCUUUAUAUUAUAACAGAAUUAGUACGACACUCCCUUAAAACGAUAAGCAUCACGUCCAACAGUGACAUUUCACACCAUUUAUAAAAACUAUUAUGUCAGUCGCCCCGUAAUUGCGUCCAAUUAUUUCUCAAUUGCGCCAUACAUCAUUGCUCCGUUUAAAUGUACAAAUUUCAUAAAUUCGGUAACAGAAUUAAAAACAAGUGUAAAAAGA